UCAAAAGGUUUUUUGAAGGGGUUUAUACAAAUUAGUUUGGAAUGGAGUCCAUAGUCCCAUAGACCAAAGUUUUGGAGGACACAAAAUGAAAGGAGUGGUGGAGAGCAUUUUCAGGUGGGAGGACAUGGCUUAACCCAGACCAACAUGCAAGGAGAGGGGAGAGGGUUUUCAGGACUGAAGGAAGGCUUGAAAGAGACGAAAUGUAGAGAGAAUCUGUCAAGGAUGACAUCCGAUGGGUCAGGGGUUUUGGAGGGGAGAGGAAAUGCAGAACAACGUCAGGGGUUUGGGGGGAGCUUGACGGGAGGGAAUCUGUCGAGGAGAUGAAGUUUGGGGGAAAUGGAUUUUGACAAAACGCGAGAGGUCGAGCUAGGUCAACGAGUCUCAAAAAAGAGAGAAAAACAAAUGAGAAUGCCAACAUGGAAAAUCCAUG